AACGAACGCUGGCGGCAUGCUUCAUACAUGCAAGUCGAACGUGAAAGACCUUCGGGUCGAGUAAAGUGGCGCACGGGUGAGUAACGCGUAGAUAAUCUGCCCCGCUGUCUGGGAUAACCUUUCGAAAGGAAGGCUAAUACCGGAUAAUACGAUUUCUUUUAAGGGAGUCGUUGAAAGUUGCGGCGCAACGGGAUGAGUCUGCGUCCCAUUAGCUAGUUGGUGGGGUAAAGGCCUACCAAGGCGACGAUGGGUAGCGGGUUUGAGAGGACGAUCCGCCACACUGGAACUGAGACACGGUCCAG
rnacentral:rRNA from 1 species